GACGAACGCUGGCGGCGUGCUUAACACAUGCAAGUCGUACGGUAAGGCCCUUUCGGGGGUACACGAGUGGCGAACGGGUGAGUAACACGUGAGUAACCUGCCCACAACUUUGGGAUAACGCUAGGAAACUGGUGCUAAUACUGGAUAUGUGCUCCUGCUGCAUGGUGGGGGUUGGAAAGCUCCGGCGGUUGUGGAUGGACUCGCGGCCUAUCAGCUUGUUGGUGGGGUAGUGGCCUACCAAGGCGGCGACGGGUAGCCGGCCUGAGAGGGUGACCGGCCACAUUGGGACUGAGAUACGGCCCAGACUCCUACGGGAGGCAGCAGUGGGGAAUAUUGCACAAUGGGCGCAAGCCUGAUGCAGCAACGCCGCGUGCGGGAUGACGGCCUUCGGGUUGUAAACCGCUUUCAGCAGGGACGAAGCUUUUUGUGACGGUACCUGCAGAAGAAGCACCGGCGAACUACGU
rnacentral:rRNA from 1 species